ACGGACCUGAGCAGAUCACAGGGUGCUGCAUAUAGACUUGAUUACCCAGGGCACAGGCAAACAGCACAAACAACUCAGACGCACCUGAGAGGUUUUUUACCUGGCCGAUACAAGAAGGCUUUCAGGACAAGUCUGAUACAUCACCAUGGGGAACUCUCUGAUGACGUUCUUCAAGUACUUGUUUGUCUUUCUCAACAUACUCUUAAUUUUGGCGGGUGUAGCAUCUCUGGCUGGAGGGAUAUACCUAGCAGCGGCUCCCCAGCACUAUUUAAGACUUACAGAGCUAGGUGCGAUAGGACUGGGUCAGGUGGGACUUGUCAGAACAUGCGGUUAUCUCCUCAUUGC